AUGACCCCAAUCUUGACGUUUUUCACCCCAUUGACCCCAAUUUUGACGUUUUUCACCCCGUUGACCCCAAUUUUGACGUUCUCCAUGGUUCUACCAUCCCCGUUGACCCCAACCUUGACGUUCUUCACCCCGUUGACCCCAAUCUUGACGUUUUUCACCCCAUUGACCCCAAUCUUGAUGUUCUUCACCCCAUUGACCCCAAUCUUGACGUUUUUCACCCCAUUGACCCCAACCUUGACGUUCUUCACCCCGUUGACCCCAACCUUGACCUUCCUCAACCGUGAUGACCCCAAUCUUGACGUUUUUCACCCCAUUGACCCCAACCUUGAUGUUCCUCACCCCAUUGACCCCAAUUUUGACGUUCUCCAUGGUUCUACCACCCCCGUUGACCCCAAUCUUGACGUUUUUCACCCCAUUGACCCCAUUUUGCUGUUCCUCAUGGUUCUACCACCCCCAUUGACCCCAACCUUGACGUUUUUCACCCCAUUGACCCCAAAUAUGACGUUCCUCAUGGUUCUACCACCCCCGUUGACCCCAACCUUGACGUUUUUCACCCCAUUGACCCUAAAUAUGACGUUCCUCAUGGUUCUACCAUCCUUUUUGACCCCAAUCUUGACGUUUUUCAUCCCGUUGACCCUAAUCUUGAUGUUCUUCACCCCGUUGACCCCAUCCUUGAUGUUCCUCACCCCGUUGACCCCAAUUUUGACGUUCUCCAUGGUUCUACCACCCCCGUUGACCCCAAUCUUGACGUUCUUCACCCCAUUGACCCCAACCUUGAUGUUCUCCAUGGUUCUAUUGACCCAUGAUGACCCCAAUCUUGACAUUUUUCACCCCACUGACCCUAAAUAUGACGUUCCUCAUGGUUCUACCAUCCUUUUUGACCCCAAUCUUGACGUUUUUCACCCCGUUGACCCCAAAUAUGACGUUCUCCAUGGUUCUACCACCCCCGUUGACCCCAAUCUUGACGUUUUUCACCCCAUUGACCCCAACCUUGAUGUUCCUCACCCCGUUGACCCCAAUCUUGACGUUUUUCACCCCAUUGACCCCAAUCUUGACGUUCUUCACCCCAUUGACCCCAAAUAUGACGUUUUUCACCCCGUUGACCCCAAUUUUGACGUUCUCCAUGGUUCUACCACGCCCAUUGACCCCAACCUUGACGUUCUUCACCCCGAUGACCUCAUCCGUGACGUCACCGCCCCGUCCCCUCCCAUAGGGUGA
rnacentral:lncRNA from 1 species